AACGAACGCUGGCGGCAGGCUUAACACAUGCAAGUCGAGCGCCCCGCAAGGGGAGCGGCAGACGGGUGAGUAACGCGUGGGAAUCUACCCAUCUCUACGGAAUAGCGCAUGGAAACGUGUGCUAAUACCGUAUACGUCCUUCGGGAGAAAGAUUUAUCGGAGAUGGAUGAGCCCGCGUUGGAUUAGCUAGUUGGUGGGGUAAAGGCCUACCAAGGCGACGAUCCAUAGCUGGUCUGAGAGGAUGAUCAGCCACACUGGGACUGAGACACGGCCCAGACUCCUACGGGAGGCAGCAGUGGGGAAUAUUGGACUAUGGGCGCAAGCCUGAUCCAGCCAUGCCGCGUGAGUGAUGAAGGCCCUAGGGUUGUAAAGCUCUUUCACCGGUGAAGAUAAUGACGGUAACCGGAGAAGAAGCCCCGGCUAACUUCGUGCCAGCAGCCGCAGUAACAC
rnacentral:rRNA from 1 species